GUCCCCAUCGUCUAGCCUGGCCUAGGACACCGCCCUUUCACGGCGAUAACAGGGGUUCGAAUCCCCUUGGGGACG
rnacentral:tRNA from 1 species